rnacentral:rRNA from 1 species
AUAAUACUCCCAUGACUAUACAGUACAUAAUCUCAUCUGAUUUCAGAAGCGAUACAAGGUUGGCCCUGGUUAUUUGGAUGUGAGACCACCAAGGAAUACCAGGAAU